ACUAAUCCUAGCCCAACCAAUCAAACUCACACUUAAUAACUACAACUUAAUUAAACAAAACAUUUACCCCUAUAAAAGUAUAGGAGAUAGAAAUUUUCAAUUGGAGCUAUAGAGCAAGUACCGUAAGGGAAAGAUGAAAGAAUAAAUUUAUAGUACAAUAAAGCAAAGACUAAACCUUUUACCUUUUGCAUAAUGAAUUAACUAGAAAUCACUUUGCAAAAAGAAUUUAAGUUAAGAACCCCGAAACCAGACGAGCUACUUACGGGCAGCUAUUCAGAGCCAAUCCGUCUAUGUCGCAAAAUAGUGGAAAGACCUUUAAGUAGAGGUGAAAAGCCUACCGAGCCUGGUGAUAGCUGGUUAUCCAGAUAAGAAUUUCAGUUCAACUUUAAAUUUACCUCCUGAACCUAAAAUCCCUAUGUAAAUUUAAUUGUUAAUCUAAAGAGGGACAGCUCUUUAGAUACAGGAAAAAACCUUGAUUAGAGAGUAAGUUAAACAAACCCCAUAGUUGGCCUAAAAGCAGCCAUCAAUUAAAAAAGCGUUCAAGCUUAACUAAUAUAUUUAAAACUUAAUUAACAAAUUUAUAACCAACUCCUAAUUUUACACUGGAUUAAUCUAUAAAUAAUUAUAGAAGCAAUAAUGUUAAUAUGAGUAACAAGAAAAAUUUUCUCCUUGCAUAAGCUUAUAUCAGACCGAAUAACUCACUGAUAGUUAACAGUCUUAUAAUUCAAUACAACAACCUAAACAAUUAUUCCCCAUAAUGUUAACCCAACACUGGUAUGCACCUAUAAAGGAAAGAUUAAAAAAAGUAAAAGGAACUCGGCAAACACUAACCCCGCCUGUUUACCAAAAACAUCACCUCUAGCAUUAAUAGUAUUAGAGGCACUGCCUGCCCAGUGACAUACGUUUAACGGCCGCGGUAUCCUGACCGUGCAAAGGUAGCAUAAUCACUUGUUCCUUAAUUAGGGACUUGCAUGAAUGGCAAGACGAGGGUUAAUCUGUCUCUUACUUUUAAUCAGUGAAAUUGACCUUCCCGUGAAGAGGCGGGAAUAAAUAAAUAAGACGAGAAGACCCUAUGGAGCUUAAAUUCUUUACCCAAAUAAAUAUUUUUAAUUCUACAAGAUACAAAACUCUUAUUGAUGGGUAAAAAUUUUUGGUUGGGGUGACCUCGGAGCAUAAACCAACCUCCGAAUGAUUCUAAUUAAGACUUUCACCUGUCUAGAUUUCCACUCAUAAAUUGACCCAAGCUAUUUGAUCAACGGAACAAGUUACCCUAGGGAUAACAGCGCAAUCCUACCCAAGAGUCCCUAUCGACAGUAGGGUUUACGACCUCGAUGUUGGAUCAGGACAUCCAAAUGGUGCAGCAGCUAUUAAUGGUUCGUUUGUUCAACGAUUAAAGUCCUACGUGAUCUGAGUUCAGACCGGAGCAAUCCAGGUCGGUUUCUAUCUAUUAUAAAUUUCUCCCAGUACGAAAGGACAAGAGAAAUGAGGCCAAUCUCCACAAAUAUGCCUUAUAAUAAAAGAUGAUAUAAUCUUAAUCUUACUUUAUAUACACAUAUCAACCCUAGAAACAGGGUUA
rnacentral:rRNA from 1 species